UACGGAGGGAGCUAGCGUUGUUCGGAAUUACUGGGCGUAAAGCGUGCGCAGGCGGUUUUGUAAGCCAGAUGUGAAAUCCCCGGGCUUAACCUGGGAAUGGCAUUUGGGACUGCAAGGCUUGAGUGCGGCAGAGGAGACUGGAAUUCCUGGUGUAGCAGUGAAAUGCGUAGAUAUCAGGAGGAACACCGAUGGCGAAGGCAGGUCUCUGGGCUGACACUGACGCUCAUGCACGAAAGCGUGGGGAGCAAACAGG
rnacentral:rRNA from 1 species